GCACAAUCUGUCGUGGCUGCUGGACGGUUAAGCUUGAGCGCCCGCCGCGGUGGCGGCAAGAGGGCUCCCGGCUGGCUGCACGGGAAAGCGGGCGCCAGAACCGACCGCAUGCUGGCAGGAGGACCCAGAUCCCGAGGACGAAAACCUCUAUGAGAAGAACCCAGACUCCCACGGUUAUGGCCAGGACUCCUUUCUAGACGUCUGGAACAUGCGGGUCGUCUUCUUCUUUGGCUUCUCCGUUGUCCCGGCCCUUGGCAGCACCUUUGUGGCCUAUCUGCCCGACUACAGGAUGCAGAGCUGGGCCCGUUGGGAAGCUGAGAGGCUUGUGAAGUAUCGAGAAGCCAGUGGCCUCCCCUUCAUGGAACCCAGCCAUUUUGACCCCAGCAGGAUUCAGCUGCCAGAGGGUGAGGGCUGACCAGUUGCUGAGUGGAGCUCAAGAAGCACCACCUUCCCCACGCCCCCCAUCAUUCUGACCUCUUCUCAGAGCACCUAAUUAAAGGGGCUGAAAGU